AUGCAGCAGAAAGGAAUGCUGAGGGAGGACUCCAGUUGGAAUGAGCCACUUUUCCAGGACUAGGAAUGAACUUUCCCCAAUACCAACAAGGCAGCCUCCAGGGCAAGAAAUGGUAACAGAAUCCAUCCUGUUGACAGUCAAGAUGGAAUUACAGAGAAUUCUCACCUCUUUUUUGACUCUCAGGUGGAAACCCCCUUCCCAUGGGGUGAAGCGCAGUCUGCUCCAGAGACCCACUGUUAGGGUCGGGGAUGUCACAGAAAUUAACAGGGCAGCCAAUUCCCAUCCAGAGGGGCCCAGGAUGACCCCGAACCCUCUAGCUCAGCCCCAAGCUCGGGCCAGGGAGUGAAGCCUUUGUCCCCAAGCAACAGAGUGAGGGUCUGUCUCUAACCCGGUGGGCUCCAGUGAAAGGAAAAUGGCCUGGAGGUGCCCACAGGAGGGCGCCCUAGUUCUGAGACAGGUCUACGGCUCCCAGACUGUGUCCCCAUGAGUAACAGAGGGACACGCAGAGGGGCAUACUGAGUGCCUAUAGGGGACUCACAGACUGCAGAUGCACGCUGCGGAUCCAGAAGCCGGUCAGGUAAUGAGGUGCAGAGGUGUGGGGAAGACCUGGGUGCCUCCCUGGGUGCCAACCAGCCUAACCAGCCGGGGCCACCAAACAGAAGUGCUUCUGACAUUAACGCGACACACAGAAGCGCACACAACCAAGCUUAGGAGCCGACUGUUAAGAUGCCCCAGUGACACGGACAAGUUUCUCCUCUGCAACCCAAUGAGAGCUGCUGACCACGAGAGCAUCGCGGGACCGCCAAAGGAUUCUGGAAAAUGUGGUCCCGGGUGGCCAGUGUGCGCUGACCUUCACCUGAAGGUGAGCUGAGCUCACCAUGCAAGUCUCCACCCUGGGGUGCCCUUCCCCAAGCAGAUGCCAGGUUGGGGCAGAAGCAGUUCAGGGAGAAGCGAUGCGCUCCUGGGACUGCCGGUUUGGGGGCAACAUCGGCCCUGUGUCCCCUAGAGUAGGAGGGUGUACCAGGAUGGGGAACCCCAAGGCCGUUUUCAGGGAGAACAAGAUUGGCUUGAGGCAAACUCCCGGAAUGGAGAUGGGGAGAGUCUGGUCGCAUUUCCCCAGGAGUUUAGGGGAUGAAGGCUGGACUUGGGUGAACAGCAAAAGAUCCCCUGGUGAUAGUGGUGGUGAGGAUCAGAGGCUUGAGCCAGAAAUUCCCGAGGUGUUUGUUUGUUUUGUUUUUUUUGAGACAGAGUCUUGAUCUGUCUCCCAGGAUGUAGUGCAAUGGCAUGCUCUUGGCUCAUUGCAACCUCCGCCUCCCAGGUUCAAGCGAUUCUCCUG
rnacentral:lncRNA from 1 species